GUGUGAAAUUGAUUGUUAUACAAGUUAAAAAAAAAAAAAAAAGGAUCACUUGCGGUGCGUUUCGCUUUUAUGUUGUAUUCAUAUGAGCAAUCAAUGCAUUUUUAAAAUAUUAAUAUAGCAUUACUUGCCACUCUCUCAGUCGGCCUUGCUCGGAAUCAGUCAUCCCUCUGUGCUCUGCGCUCUCUAUAUCUUGCCGUCCUUUUUCUCCGACUCUCCCUCCCUUCUGCUCGCUGUCACCAUUUUUCUGGAAAAUCCAAAAAUAUGAAAAAUUCAGGUAAUACUAGCGGGACUAGUGGUGAAGCAACUCAUGGGAAGAGAAAGAUGAUGGGAGGGUCUGAUAGGACCGAUACGCAAAAACUCCUUGACUCAGAAGAAAUAGCAGAUGCAGUAUGUAGGAUAGCUACUGCAUAUGUGGCUAGAAAUAAUGCAGUAAACAAAAUUAUGAAUGGUGAGAUCUCAAUUCGUGAGGUUAUUGCUGAACUCAAUGGCAUGGAGGAAAUAUUUGGUGAUCGUGAUUUACAUUGGCGAUGUUGCCAACUUUUGUUGUACAAGCCUAAUCGGGAGAUAUUUGUCGCACUUAGAGGACAUCGAGAGAGGUUGAUGAAUUGGUUGAGGAAUCAAGCUUACAAACCACCAACAUUCAUUCGUGAAGCCCUUGAUGCUUAAAUUGUACUUUAGUUUUGUUAUUGUGAUAAGUCUUAUAUUAUGCUAUGUUAUUGUUGUUGACUUAAUUAGAGAUCAACUUCUAGAGCACGUGUUAAUAUUAUGAUUCUAAUUUGAGUUUGCCCUUCACGUUCAAGGCAUAUCUGGAUCAUUCUGCAACUCAAAAGUAAAGCUUCCUUUCUCAAGUAA